AGUGAACGCUGGCGGUAGGCCUAACACAUGCAAGUCGAACGGCAGCACAGUAAGAGCUUGCUCUUACGGGUGGCGAGUGGCGGACGGGUGAGGAAUACAUCGGAAUCUACUUUUUCGUGGGGGAUAACGUAGGGAAACUUACGCUAAUACCGCAUACGACCUACGGGUGAAAGCAGGGGAUCUUCGGACCUUGCGCGAUUGAAUGAGCCGAUGUCGGAUUAGCUAGUUGGCGGGGUAAAGGCCCACCAAGGCGACGAUCCGUAGCUGGUCUGAGAGGAUGAUCAGCCACACUGGAACUGAGACACGGUCCAUACUCCUACGGGAGGCAGCAGUGGGGAAUCUUGGACAAUGGGCGCAAGCCUGAUCCAGCCAUACCGCGUGGGUGAAGAAGGCCUUCGGGUUGUAAAGCCCUUUUGUUGGGAAAGAAAAGCAGCAGGUUAAUACCCCGCUGUUCUGACGGUACCCAAAGAAUAAGCACCGGCUAACUUCGUG
rnacentral:rRNA from 1 species